rnacentral:rRNA from 1 species
GACGAACGCUGGCGGCGUGCUUAACACAUGCAAGUCGAACGGAAAGGCCCUGCUUUUGUGGGGUGCUCGAGUGGCGAACGGGUGAGUAACACGUGAGUAACCUGCCCUUGACUUUGGGAUAACUUCAGGAAACUGGGGCUAAUACCGGAUAGGAGCUCCUGCUGCAUGGUGGGGGUUGGAAAGUUUCGGCGGUUGGGGAUGGACUCGCGGCUUAUCAGCUUGUUGGUGGGGUAGUGGCUUACCAAGGCUUUGACGGGUAGCCGGCCUGAGAGGGUGACCGGCCACAUUGGGACUGAGAUACGGCCCAGACUCCUACGGGAGGCAGCAGUGGGGAAUAUUGCACAAUGGGCGGAAGCCUGAUGCAGCAACGCCGCGUGCGGGAUGACGGCCUUCGGGUUGUAAACCGCUUUCGCCUGUGACGAAGCGUGAGUGACGGUAAUGGGUAAAGAAGCACCGGCUAACUACGUGCCAGCAGCCGCGGUGAUACGUAGGGUGCGAGCGUUGUCCGGAUUUAUUGGGCGUAAAGGGCUCGUAGGUGGUUGAUCGCGUCGGAAGUGUAAUCUUGGGGCUUAACCCUGAGCGUGCUUUCGAUACGGGUUGACUUGAGGAAGGUAGGGGAGAAUGGAAUUCCUGGUGGAGCGGUGGAAUGCGCAGAUAUCAGGAGGAACACCAGUAGCGAAGGCGGUUCUCUGGGCCUUUCCUGACGCUGAGGAGCGAAAGCGUGGGGAGCGAACAGGCUUAGAUACCCUGGUAGUCCACGCUGUAAACGGUGGGUACUAGGUGUGGGGUCCAUUCCACGGGUUCCGUGCCGUAGCUAACGCUUUAAGUACCCCGCCUGGGGAGUACGGCCGCAAGGCUAAAACUCAAAGGAAUUGACGGGGCCCCGCACAAGCGGCGGAGCAUGCGGAUUAAUUCGAUGCAACGCGUAGAACCUUACCUGGGUUUGACAUGGAUCGGGAGUGCUCAGAGAUGGGUGUGCCUCUUUUGGGGUCGGUUCACAGGUGGUGCAUGGCUGUCGUCAGCUCGUGUCGUGAGAUGUUGGGUUAAGUCCCGCAACGAGCGCAACCCUUGUUCACUGUUGCCAGCACGUUAUGGUGGGGACUCAGUGGAGACCGCCGGGGUCAACUCGGAGGAAGGUGGGGAUGACGUCAAGUCAUCAUGCCCCUUAUGUCCAGGGCUUCACGCAUGCUACAAUGGCUGGUACAGAGAGUGGCGAGCCUGUGAGGGUGAGCGAAUCUCGGAAAGUCGGUCUCAGUUCGGAUUGGGGUCUGCAACUCGACCUCAUGAAGUCGGAGUCGCUAGUAAUCGCAGAUCAGCAACGCUGCGGUGAAUACGUUCCCGGGGCU